AUGGGUUUCUCUGUUAAGAUGAACACUUCAAAGAGGAAUGCUUAUACCAACAUAUUGGAGAAACAACAAUUUGCAUGUAACAAGUUUAGGAAACCAAAAGAGGAUAAUGUAGCAGCUGAGUUGCCACCUGUGCUAGAUCCUAUACCAGACCCCAAACCUUUGGGUGAAGAAGAUGAAAUGGAAGAAGUGCCAAUAUUCGAUGGAGAGGAGAGUGGAAAAAAGAAUAAUAAGAAGAAGCGCAAGAGAGAAAGGAUAAAGCAAACACAAUGUAAGGCAAAAAUGCUGGUUAAAUUGAAGGAUGGGCGGUGGGAAAUAACCCACUUUGUCCGUGAUCAUGAUCAUCCAUUGGUCGCCAAGCCUUCGCUGUCCAAAUACUUGCAAUCUCACAUGGGUAUACCGUGGGAGGAAAAGAGGUUCCUAGAGAUACUCUACAACUGCAAUCUGACUUCAGGCUGUAUGAUGCAUAUCAUGUCAGAAUUUUAUGGCUCGGAGCUAAAUGUACUGUAUGGACCUAAAGCAAUAACAAACCUAUGUGCUGGCUUCUCCAAGGACUCAAUGAAAGAGGGGGACAUUAUUGAGACAAUUGAACAUUUUAAAGACUUGCAAAAAGAUGAUCUAGAUUUUUUCUAUAAGACAAAAUAUGAUCUCGAAGGGAGGGCAGAAAACAUUUUUUGGGUGGAUGGCUUGGCACAGAAAGCUUAUAUGGAGGUAUAUCAUGAUUGUGUCUCCUUUGACACAACUUACAUGACCAAUAUGUACAACAUGCCUUUUGCUCCGUUCAUUGGGAUCAACUGUCAUGGGCAAUCUUUCAUGUUGGGCUGCGCGUUUGUGAGGCAGGAAAUGGAGACUAGCUUUGAUUGGGUUUUUGGAGCUUUCCUAGAGGCUAUGAAUGGAAGGGCACCGGAUAACAUCAUUACUGAUCAGGAUGUGGCAAUGAAAGAGUCCAUAAAGAACAUAUUUCCCAAAAGCAUGCACCGAUGUUGUCGGUGGUACAUCAUGAAAAAAGCUCAAGAGAAAGUUGGAUGGUUGCUAGGUCAAAACCUGGGAUUGUCUGAAGAUUUCAACCUUUGCGUUGAUUUCAGUUUCACACCAGAUGAGUUUGAACAGAAUUGGGUUGUGUUGAUGAUGAAAUAUGAGACAAUUACACACACCCAUUUUGAGAAUCUGUACAAAUAUAGGAACACUUGGGUGCCAUGUUACUUCAAGAAUAGAUUUUUCCAUUCUUGCAGUCUACACAAUGAAGUGAGAGGUUCAAUGCAGUCUUCAAGCGGUAUGUCAACUGCUACCUGUUGA
rnacentral:rRNA from 1 species